rnacentral:rRNA from 1 species
AUAGGUUAAGUUAAUAAGGGCGCAUGGUGGAUGCCUUGGCACUAGAAGGCGAUGAAGGACGUGACUAACUACGAUAUGCCUCGGUUAGCUGUAAGUAAGCUUACCCGGGGGUUUCCGAAUGGGGCAACCCGAUCUUAAUGAUCAUCAUCUUUUUGAAUUCAUAGAUUAGAUGAAGCAAACGCUGUGAACUGAAACAUCUAAGUAGCAGUAGGAAAGUAAAGAAAUUUCGAUUCCGUCAGUAGCGGCGAGCGAACGCGGAAGAGCCCAAACCUGGAUGCUUGCAUCCAGGGGUUGUAGGACUGAUGUUGAGUUACAAAGGUAUAAGAUAGCAGAAACAGUUGGGAAGCUGUUCCAAAGAGGGUGACAGGCCCGUAUGCGAAAUCUUGUACUCUCUAAUCAGGAUCCUGAGUAC